GUUAAACGGNNCCGCGGNNUAUCCUNGACCGUGCAAANGGUAGCAUAAUCANNCUUGUUCCUUAAUUAGGGACUCGUAUGAACGGCUAANACGAGGGUCCAACUGUCUCUUAUUUUUAAUCAGUGAAAUUGACCUUCCAGUGAAGAGGCUGGAAUUAUUAAAUAAGACGAGAAGACCCUAUGGAGCUUGAAUUAAUAAACUUAUUUNAAAAUCUCACCACACCUAAUGGAACAAAANNAUAUUAUCUUAAAUUUAAAANUUUUGGUUGGGGUGACCUCGGAGAAUAAAAUAUCCUCCGAAAGAUUAUAACUUAGACAAACAAGUCGAUGUAACNCUAANNAUUCUAAUUGACCCAAAAUAUUUNNGACCAACGGACCAAGUUACCCUAGGGAUAACAGCGCAAUCCUAUUUAAGAGUCCAUAUCGACAAUNAGGGUUUACGACCUCGAUGUUGGAUCAGGACAUCCCAAUGGUGCAGAAACUAUUAAUGGUUCGUUUGUUCAACGAUUAAAGUCCUACGUGAUCU
rnacentral:rRNA from 1 species